UGCGUAGGCGGUUAAGUGAGUGUGAUGUGAAAGCCCCGGGCUUAACCUGGGAAGCGCAUCGCAAACGACUUAACUGGAGUAGAUGAGAGGGUGAUGGAAUUUCCGGUGUAGCGGUGAAAUGCGUAGAGAUCGGAAGGAACGUCGAUGGCGAAGGCAGUCACCUGGCAUCAUACUGACGCUGAGGCACGAAAGCGUGGGGAGCGAACAGGAUUAGAUACCCUGGUAGUCCACGCUGUAAACGAUGAUGACUAGAUGUUGGUAGGGGAACCUAUCGGUAUCGAAGCUAACGCGAUAAGUCAUCCGCCUGGGAAGUACGGCCGCAAGGUUGAA
rnacentral:rRNA from 1 species